rnacentral:rRNA from 1 species
CAGCCGCCGCGGGAACACGGAGGGUGCAAGCGUUAAUCGGAAUUACUGGGCGUAAAGCGUGCGUAGGCGGUUCGUUAAGUCUGUUGUGAAAGCCCCGGGCUCAACCUGGGAAUGGCAAUGGAUACUGGCGAGCUAGAGUGUGUCAGAGGAUGGUGGAAUUCCCGGUGUAGCGGUGAAAUGCGUAGAGAUCGGGAGGAACAUCAGUGGCGAAGGCGGCCAUCUGGGACAACACUGACGCUGAAGCACGAAAGCGUGGGGAGCAAACAGGAUUAGAGACCCCUGUAGUCCCUGUCUCUUAUAC